rnacentral:rRNA from 1 species
UACGUAGGGUGCGAGCGUUAAUCGGAAUUACUGGGCGUAAAGUGUGCGCAGGCGGCUUCGCAAGUCGAGUGUGAAAUCCCCGAGCUUAACUUGGGAAUUGCGCUCGAAACUACGGAGCUGGAGUGUGGCAGAGGAAGGUGGAAUUCCACGUGUAGCGGUGAAAUGCGUAGAGAUGUGGAGGAACACCGAUGGCGAAGGCAGCCCUUCUGGGCCGAACACUGACGCUCAUGCACGAAGCGUGGGGAGCAAACAGG